rnacentral:rRNA from 1 species
AUUUUUCCCUUUCUGUCGGCGUCUUACCAUGCAAGUCGUGCGCGAAGGUGGCUUCGGCCACCGGAGAGCGGCGAACGGGUGAGUAACACGUGGGUGAUCUGCCUGGGAGCGGGGGAUAACCUGGGGAAACUCGGGCUAAUACCGCAUACGUUGGUGAGGUUGCGGCCUCAUCAAGAAAGCUGGCCUCUGUUUACAAGCUAGCACUCCCAGAGGAGCCCGCGGCUGAUUAGCUAGUUGGUGGGGUAAAGGCCCACCAAGGCGACGAUCAGUAGCCGGCCUGAGAGGGUGAUCGGCCACACUGGGACUGAGACACGGCCCAGACUCCUACGGGAGGCAGCAGUGGGGAAUAUUGGACAAUGGGCGCAAGCCUGAUCCAGCAACGCCGCGUGGAGGACGAAGGUCUUCGGAUCGUAAACUCCUGUCAGGCGGGACGAAGGCUGCGGGGCAAAUAGCCCCGUAGCUUGACGGUACUGCCAGAGGAAGCCCCGGCUAGCUCCGUGCCAGCAGCCGCGGUAAUACGGAGGGGGCUAGCGUUAUUCGGAAUUAUUGGGCGUAAAGGGCGCGUAGGCGGCCCGGUAAGUCAAAGGUGAAAUCCCUCGGCUCAACUGAGGAACUGCCUUUGAAACUGUCGGGCUUGAGG